rnacentral:rRNA from 1 species
CUGGCUCAGAACGAACGCUGGUAGCGUGGAUAGGCAUGCAAGUCGAACGGGAUCCGGAAGGUAGCAAUAUCGGCCGGUGAGAGUGGCGGACUGGGGAGGAGCACGUGAGCAACUGCCCGAGGGACGGGGAAAACCGUUGGAAACGACGGCUAAUACCGGAUGCGGCGCGCGGGGGACAUCCCCCUGCGCCAAAGGGGGCCGCAAGGCUCCCGCCCGCGGAGAGGCUCGCGCACCAUCAGCUAGUUGGCGGGGUGACGGCCCACCAAGGCGUACGGUUAGCUGGUCUGAGAGGAUGGCCAGCCCCACUGGGACUGAGACACUGCCCAGACUCCUACGGGAGGCUGCAGUCGAGGAUCAUUUGCAAUGGGCGAAAGCCUGACAAUGCGACGCUGCGUGGAGGAUGAAGGCCUUCGGGUUGUAAACUCCUGUCAUGGGGGAACAGGCGAGGGGAGUUAAUACCUCCCUUAGUUGAGUGUACCCCAAGAGGAAUUGGCGGCUAACUCUGUGCCAGCCGCGGC